rnacentral:rRNA from 1 species
AUUGAACGCUGGCGGCAUGCUUUACACAUGCAAGUCGAACGGCAGCGCGGGCUUCGGCCUGGCGGCGAGUGGCGAACGGGUGAGUAAUACAUCGGAACGUGCCCAGUAGUGGGGGAUAGCGCGGCGAAAGCGGGAUUAAUACCGCAUACGACCUGAGGGUGAAAGCGGGGGAUCUGCGGACCUCGCGCUCUUGGAGGGGCCGAUGGCAGAUUAGCUAGUUGGUGGGGUAAAGGCCUACCAAGGCGACGAUCUGUAGCUGGUCUGAGAGGACGACCAGCCACACUGGGACUGAGACACGGCCCAGACUCCUACGGGAGGCAGCAGUGGGGAAUUUUGGACAAUGGGCGAAAGCCUGAUCCAGCAAUGCCGCGUGUGUGAUGAAGGCCUUCGGGUUGUAAAGCACUUUUGGCGGGAACGAAAAGGACUGUGCCAAUACCACGGUUCGAUGACGGUACCCGCAGAAUAAGCACCGGCUAACUACGUG